AACGAACGCUGGCGGCAUGCCUAACACAUGCAAGUCGAACGAGACCUUCGGGUCUAGUGGCGCACGGGUGCGUAACGCGUGGGAACCUGCCCUUAGGUUCGGAAUAACUCCCCGAAGGGGGUGCUAAUACCGGAUAAUGUCUUCGGACCAAAGAUUUAUCGCCUUUGGAUGGGCCCGCGUUGGAUUAGCUAGUUGGUAGGGUAAAAGCCUACCAAGGCGACGAUCCAUAGCUGGUCUGAGAGGAUGAUCAGCCACACUGGGACUGAGACACGGCCCAGACUCGUACGGGAGGCAGCAGUGGGGAAUAUUGGACAAUGGGCGAAAGCCUGAUCCAGCAAUGCCGCGUGAGUGAUGAAGGCCUUAGGGUUGUAAAGCUCUUUUACCCGGGAUGAUAAUGACAGUACCGGGAGAAUAAGCACCGGCUAACUCCGUG
rnacentral:rRNA from 1 species